rnacentral:rRNA from 1 species
CGUGCCAACGGCAUAGCUGGGUAGCUAUGUAUGGACGGGAUAAGUGCUGAAAGCAUCUAAGCAUGAAGCCCCCCUCGAGAUGAGAUUUCCCAACUUCGGUUAUAAGAUCCCUCAAAGAUGAUGAGGUGAAUAGGUUCGAGGUGGAAGCGUAGCGAUACGUGGAGCUGACGAAUACUAAUCGAUCGAAGACUUAAUCAAU